rnacentral:rRNA from 1 species
UAACACGUGGGUAACCUGCCCAUCAGAGGGGGAUAACAUUCGGAAACGGAUGCUAAAACCGCAUAGGUCCUUUAACCGCAUGGUUGAAGGAGGAAAAGAGGCGCAAGCUUCUGCUGAUGGAUGGACCCGCGGUGCAUUAGCUAGUUGGUGAGGUAACGGCUCACCAGGGCCGUGAUGCAUAGCCGACCUGAGAGGGUGAUCGGCCACAUUGGGACUGAGACACGGCCCAA